rnacentral:rRNA from 1 species
AAGGAUCAUUAUUCAAUAAAACCUGAUGAGUUGCUGCUGGCUCUCUUGAGAGUAUUGUGCACACUUGUCAUCUUUAUAUCUCCACCUGUGCACAUAUUGUAGACCUGGAUAACUCUCUGAAUGCUAGCUAGCAUUUGGGUUCGAGGAUUGACUUUUGUCUUUCCUUACAUUUCCAGGCCUAUGUUCUUUCAUAUAACCUCAAUGUAUGUUAUGGAAUGUAAUAUAAUGGGCAUUGUGCCUAUAAACUUAUACAACUUUCAGCAACGGAUCUCUUGGCUCUCGCAUCGAUGAAGAACGCAGCGAAAUGCGAUAAGUAAUGUGAAUUGCAGAAUUCAGUGAAUCAUCGAAUCUUUGAACGCACCUUGCGCUCCUUGGUAUUCCGAGGAGCAUGCCUGUUUGAGUGUCAUUAAUAUAUCAACCUCUUAAAGCUUUUGCUUUUGAGAGUGUGUGGAUGUGGGGGUUAUUUUGCUGGCCUUUUCAAGGUCAGCUCCCCUGAAAUGUAUUAGCAGAACAAUUUGUUGACCGUUCAUUGGUGUGAUAACUAUCUACGCUAUUGACGUGAAGCAGUUCAGCUUAUAACAGUCCAUUGACUUGGACAAUUUUUAUUAUUAAUGUGACCUCCAAAUCAGGUAGG